UACGUAGGUGGCAAGCGUUGUCCGGAUUUAUUGGGUUUAAAGGGUGCGUAGGCGGUCCCAUAAGUCAGUGGUGAAAUACUCUAGCUUAACUAGAGGGGUGCCAUUGAUACUGCGGGACUUGAGUGGAGUUGAAGUGGGCGGAAUUGACGGUGUAGCGGUGAAAUGCUUAGAUAUCAUCAAGAACACCGAUAGUGAAGACAGCUCACUAAGCUCAAACUGACGCUGAGGCACGAAAGUGUGGGGAUCAAACAGG
rnacentral:rRNA from 1 species